AUGGAAUUCAAAGAUUCAAAUCCUCGUGUUGUGUUUGCAGCACUUAAAAUCUUCAACCAACCCACACCAGACGGAGUUCAGCUAUCACUACAACUCCACCCCUCCAAACCCGAAGCAGACAUGAAGACGUCAAGCGUCCCCGGUGUGUUUAGUUCUUUGUUGAGCUGUGGCACUGAGGCAGGAGGAGGCUGCUGACUAUCUACAAGAGACUGACAGAAAUGCAAAACAUCUGCGUAUCUGUCAGGAAAUAUUGAUUAAUCCCGACCAAUUAAACACUGGGUUUUCUGCUGUUGUCAGAAGAGUGCGCUGAUAAGAUCGAGAUUUCACUUCAGUGCUAUAGGCUGUAAACACAGAUAAACACGAAGGUGAAAAGUUGAACAUUUGGAAGAGUGAUGAUGUCAAGAUGAAAAAAUGAUCGUCUUCAGACCUCUGGGAAUGAUAUUUCAUCAUUCAUCUUGAAGGAUUCUGGAAAUCUCUCAGUUCAGGCGUGGCACAGUGGGAACAUCAGUAAUUUGGGUGAAAGGUCUCGCUCAGGAUGGAAUGAAAGUAUGUACCGGCACGUAGAGGAGAGGAGGCAGGAGGUGGGUGAUGAGGUAAUGACAGAUUUUCCCAGGUGACACAUCGAGCAGCGUCUCACCGACAUCUGCCACAGCAUGUUCUCGCACCCGCGCCCAAACUCUGCUGUCUUCAGAUCAUUGCGGGGUGUACGUGAUUGAUGCUGGACGCGGCUCCAGCUGGCCUCCUCAGUGUGUCCAGAAUAAUGCCGCCCUAAAUGGACAAAAAAGAUAUUCCCUGGAGAACCGAGAUAAGCUACAGAUAGACGGGUAGAUAGAGGGGAAAGAGAGGGAGAUCGCUUCAGAGACAAGGGCAGACACCCACCCGCACGCUCGGCCAGACUGGAGGUCGUAAUGCAAAGACUGGUGGGGCGUGAUCAGAGAGGAAAUGAUAGCUUCAUUUGUAUAGUGGAGACAGGGAGGCUCUGUAUUGCGGUGGAUAGAGAGCUGGAAGCAACGGAUGAGCUCAGCGUCCCCUUCACAAGGGGAACAUGAGGACUUUUUUAGCCGAUCCUGGAAGAUCUGGAAAAAAGGUACGAGUUUGGAACGACAUGAAGGUCUCAGAGGGGGGUGGACGCGUCCUUCAUGCCUAAAACAACGGGAGCUCUGUGUGGUUUGGGUGAUGGUGUGAUUGUUUGAACAAACAGCCUGCCCCACUGCACAUUUUUAAUGCAUCGCCUCUGUUCCAGUGCAGCUGUCUUUGGAUCUUUCCAAAAUUUGGAUCAGGUGAUGUUGAGACAUCACCAUCAAAUGUGGCAGAGAGGACAUCAAACUAGAAUGUGAAUGUACCGUCAACACAAGCCUGCACUUUGAUCCACUGGUUUAUGAUACAGUUAUUUUGCAAAUGCCUUGGGUUCUUUUUUCCAUAUGAAAGAAUGGGAUUGAAUACUUUCGAGCUCAAAAAACACUUAGGAAGCUGUAUUAGCAUUACUGAGCCGCAGCGCCGCGGGAUCAGAGAGGCUUUGUCCUGUGAGGCGUGAGGGUCGCGCAGGUAGGAGAGAGACGCGGCCUGACCCCAGACUACAGGGCAGCGGGGACACAAUCUGCUCGGAGGCCCACUCCUGUGCUCACCGGACGAGAAGGCUGCGCUGUGAAGAUACCGCAGUGUCCCGGGGAGAGAUGGGAAGUAACACGGACAAAGGAAAGUUUGUAAAGAAAGGAAGAUGGGAGGAUCUGGAGACAAAAAGAGAAAAUGCAUCAUCACUGUCAUCUUUUGAAGCCUCAUGCAAACAAUGCCGGACUGAAUGCGUGAUAUUGUGACACUCGUUCACUCAGAAUGCGGCUGUUCGGAGAGCAAAUGACAUUACUUCCUGCAGUCAUCACGUUGAGAGAUGAAGCCGAGGACGACAUGGAAUGAAGUUAGACGCCUCAAAUGUCACUGAAAAAUGAAAGGGCAUGAGAGAGAGAGCUGCUGUGAGAAUGAAAAAGCUAGCCAAACAGGUGUGUUCAGAGACCAUGUGAUGCAAUAAACAGUAAACCAGCCUGUCAUUCUCAGCAUUCUUCACACGGCUCAACUGCCUUUGAGAACCACCUGACAUUGAGCCCCUCGUGAUCAACGCUCUUCAUCUGAGAGAAACGUGAGGUCAGCGUUCCUCCAGCACCAGAUGCUCAGGUCCUGCAGAUGAAGAGGGCCGGAGAGAUCUGCAUCAGGAUAAAGUGAUCUCGACUCAAACGCCUGUUUCAGAAGUCUGAAAUCAUGUUACUGAAAUCAUGCUACAGAGAUCAUGUUACUGCUCACACUGUCUCUUCUCUUCUGAGUGAUUAAUCCCGUUCUCUACAUGGACACAGUUUAGUUAUUUAUGGAUGAACUCAUAAUGGUUGACAUAGUGUUAACCUUAGCAAAGUUUUGGCAUCUUGUGGCUGUAACUAUGACACAAAAUGUAAAAAUUCAAACCCUUUUGGAAAGAUAAAUCCCAUUCUAGGCUGAUUUAUAUGUUAUUUCCUAAAACACCUUAGCAACCACUUAUAUGCUACAUAGCAACCUCAUGAACACCCUAGCAACCACCUAGCAACCUCCCAGAACAUCAUAGCAACUACCUACCAACCACAUAGCAACCUCUCAGAACACCAUAGUAGCUACCUUGCAACCUCUCAGACCACCAUAGCAACUACCUAGCAACCACAUACCAACCUUUCAGAACAUCAUAGUAGCUACCUAGCAACUGCAUGGCAAGCUCUCAGAACACCAUAGCAACUGCCUAGCAACCUUUUAGAACACCAUAGUAGCUACCUAGCAACCGUAUAGCAACCUCUCAGAAUACUAUAGCAACUACCAAGCAACCAUAUACCAACCUCUCAGAGCACCAUAACAACUACCUAGCAACAACACAGCAACCUCUCAGACCACCAUAGCAACCACCUAGCAACCUCUCAGAAUACCAUAGCAACUACCUAGCAACCACAUACCAACCUCUCAGAACACCAUAGAAGCUACCUAACAACUGCACAGCAACCUCUCAGACCACCAUAGCAACUACCUAGCAACCACCUAGCAACAUCUGAGCAGCAUAGCAACUACCUAGCAACAACAUACCAACCUCUCAGAACACCAUAGAAACUACCUAACAACUGCACAGCAACCUCUCAGACCACCAUAGCAACCACCUAGCAACCUCCCAGAAUACCAUAGCAACUACCUAGCAACCAUAUACCAACCUCUCAGACCACCAUUGCAACUACAUAACAACCUCUCAGAACACCAUAGAAACUACCUAACAACUACACAGCAACCUCUCAGACCACCAUAGCAACUACCUAGCAACCACCUAGCAACCUCUCAGAGCACCAUAGCAACUACCUAGCAACAACAUACCAACCUCUCAGAGCACCAUAGCAACCACCUAGCAACCUCGCAGAGCACCAUAGAAACUACAGUACCUAGCAACUCUAUUGCAACCUCCAAGAGCAUCCUAGCAUAUUUUGGCAUCUGGCGACAAGACUAAUGUAAAAAAUGUGAAAAUUCAACUACUUUUUGGAUGGAUAAGUCCCACUCUAGGAUGAUUUAUGUGUGUUUUUAUGUCUGUCUCUGAAGUGGUUGAAAUCUACCAACACGUCUCGAGCUGUUCAGUCAACGGCGGCAGUAUAAGCAAUACAAGAUGAGAAAAGCGUGGGAUCUCGGCUUCCGUUGCGAGCCUGACAGGUGCUCUUAAUGAACGCACCGGCGUGCAUUUUCUCUAACAGGAAGUCAGAUCAGCUGAGAGCAGCGCUGAGGAAAAGAGCCCGUCGUGGUGCAGGGUGAGAGUAAUGAUGUUUUGAUUGCUGUCGUUUGAUACUGGAGCAGAUAUCUUCCCGUCCUUCCCUCCCAGAACCGUGUCUUCCCGAGUCUCAGCUGAUCUCUUCAAACGGUUGUAAAUCACAGCUGGCGCUCGUCCAGUUUCAUCCCCACAAUGCUGCUCAUAAUUACUCUUCCUGCAUUAGUAGAUUCAGAGGAUUUUAAUGGGCUCAGUGCAACAGGAAGUAAAGAGUCAUCUUGAAAUAAUGACCCGGACUGGAAGAGGUAUUUGGUUGAACUUGUAAGGGAUUUUUCCCGAAAUUCAAUCAGAGUUACUGACGUCAACUGCAGUUUGAAUAAUGUCAAAGCAAUUUAUGUUGAUAUUUUAAUCAUAAGUAUAACUGCAGAGCAUUCUCUCAAAAUACCCUGGCAACCACCUAGAAGCAACAUAGCAACCUCCUGAACACCCCAGUAACCCCUCUAUCAGCUGCAUAACAACCUCCUAGGACAACCGUAACAACCACCUAGCAACCUCCCAGAACACCAUAGCAACCACUUAACAACCACAUAGCAAUUUCCUGAACCCCAUAGCAACCUCCUAGAACACUCUUGUAACCCCUUAGCAGCUACAUUGCAACUUCCCGAAAACCCUAGCAACAGCCUAGCAACCUCCUGGAACACCAUACAAACUGCCUAGCUACCGCAUAUCAACCUCCAGAUCACCCUAGCAACUGCAUAACAACUUCUCAACCUCAUAUACCUCAUAUCAACCUCCUGAACAACCCCAUUAUCAGCUGCAUUGCAACUUUUUAGAUCACCCUAGCAACUGUAUAACAAACUUUAGGAACACUAUGAACUAGUGGACUACAAACUACCUGGCAACUGCAUAGCAACCUCCCAGUUCACUAAAGCAACUUCCUAGCAACCGUGUAGCAACCUCUCAGUACACCAUAGCAUCCACAUAGCAACCUCCCAAAAUACAAUGGCAACCACUUAAAUGGUGCAUGCCAACCUCCUGAACAUCAUAGUAACCAUCUAUUGGCCGCAUAGCAACCUCUUAGAACACCCUAGCAACUGCAUAGCAACCUCUCAAAAUACCCUGGCAAACACUUAACUGCCACAUACAAACCUCCUGAACACCCUAGUAACCCCUCUAUCAGCCACAUAGCAACCUCUUAGAACACCCUAGCAACUGCAUAGCAACCUCUCAAAAUACCCUGUCAAACACUUAUUCAUAGGUUACCUCUUAGAACAACCCUAACAACCACCUAGCAACCUCCUAGAACACGCAUGUAACCCCUUAGCAGCCGCAUAGCAACUUCCUGAACACCCUAGCAACAGCCUAGCAACUGUGUAGCAGCCUCUCAGUACACCAUAGCAUCCACAUAGCAACCUCCCAAAAUACCGUGGCAACCACUUAAAUGGUGCAUGCCAACCUCCUGAACAUCAUGGUAACCAUCUAUCGGCCGCAUAGCAACCUCUUAUAACACCCUAGCAACUGCAAAAGCAACCUCUCAAAAUACCCUGGCAAACACUUAUCCACCACAUAGUAAUCUCUUAGAGCAACCCUAACAACCACCUAGCAACCUUAAAGAACACACUUGUAACCCCUUAGCAGCUACAUAGCAACUUCCUGAACACCCUAGCAACCUCCUGGAACACCAUACAAACUGCCUAGCAACUGCAUAACAACUUCUCAGAACACCACAGCAUCCACAUAGCAACCUCCCAAAAUAUCAUGGCAACCACUUAGCCACUGUAUAUCAACCUCCUGAAUACCCCCAUUAUCAGCUACAUUGCAACUUCUUAGUUGCGACUGUAUAGCAAACUUUAGGAACACCAUAUGAACUACCUGGCAACUACAUAGCAACCUCCCAGUUCACUAAAGCAACUUCCUACCAACCGCAUAGCAACCUCUCAGUACACCAUAGCAUUCACAUGCAACCUCCCAAAAAACCUCUCAUAAUACCCUGGCAAAUACUUAUCUGCUACAUAGUAACCUCCUAGAACAAUCCUAACAAACACCUAGCAACCUCUCAGAACACCAUAGCAUCCACAUAGCAACCUCCCAAAAUACCGUGGCAACCACUUAACUGGCACAUACCAACCUCCUCAACACCCUAGUAACCCCUCUAUCAGCCACAUAGUAACCUCUUAGAACACCCUAGCAUCCACAUAGCAACCUCUCAAAAUACCGUGGCAACCACUUAGAUGGUGCAUACCAACCUCCUGAACAACAUAGUAACCCAUCUAUCGGCUGCAUAGCAACUACAUAGCAACCUCUCAAAAUACCCUGGCGAACACUUAUCCACCACAUAGUAACCUCCUAGGACAACCCUAACAACCACCUAGCAACCUCCAAUAACACUUACAACAACCACUUAGCAACCGAAUAACAACCCCUCAGAACAACAUCCUAGCAACCAUUUGGAAUGCCUUGUUAACUGAGGCAGGUGAGUUUUCCACAGGUAUGAGCAGCGCUCACAUUUGCUUCAGAUAAUGUGUAAUCUUAUCCAAAUAUGUUUAGGGAUUUAUUAUAUGCUAAAUUGUAUGGAGUUAGCUGUGUGAAUGUAAAUUCAAAAAUCGAAUGAUUUUACUAAAUGCACAAUAUUGAACUGUGCAUGUGAAUUUAAAUUGUAAACUGUCACACACAGACUUCAAUCCCCAUAUAUCUGCACAAGUGUAGCAGCCAUACCUAUUAUUCAAUAUUCAUGCGUUUACUCAGGACUGAGCGUUUUACACAGUGUAUUACAGGCUCAUUUAAUAUGGAUGGGUUUAUUUUGAGGUUAAAGUGCUCCGAUCAAACUGAACUCGGCUUGGGAUGUGUGCUUAACACAGGAGGUUCAGAGCGGCGCACGGCAGUAAAAUUAACACUCGCCAAGAGCCAAAUGCGAGUAAAAAUGCAGCUCCAUACGCAACAAACUGAGAUGCACUGUGUAUUCUGACACCUUUCUAUCAGAACCAGCAUUAACUUCUAAAUUCUGUCACUACAUGUAAUUCUUUUUUUUUUUUUUUGACCAAAGCAAACUAUUCUUAGCUUAAUUGUAUUCAAAGCACGGCUUGAGUGUUCAUCAAGCAACAGUUUAUGAUUAUGCAGCAUGUGUCUGAUGGAAGAUGCCCAUAGGAUCCGCUGCGUUAGCAGGGAAAGAGUCUGUCUGCCGGAAUCUGUGUGGACAGAUUGCUUGAGGGAGGCUGCUAAUUUCCAAAGCUGUGUGCCUUGGAUUCAUUAGCUUAAAUCCGAGUCUCAAAGGAGAGCCAAAGUUUCUGUAACCACGCAAAUAUUAUCUGAAAAGAGCACGGUGAAGUAUCACAGCAAAUUCCCAGAGUCCCCUCAUUAAAAAUACCAUUAUGGGUUGUGAGAGAUGACAAAGGUGCUUAAAAACAGAUCUGCUACUGACAGUCAGUACUGAGUUAAUGAUGGGAGAGUCUCUCAUGUGCACACAAACAUUGGCUAUGUUCCGCAGAGCAAACUACCAUAUACUGUUUGUGCACAGCAUGCAAAUGUUCUGUAUGCAUGAAAUGAGCAGUUUAAAACAGAGCACACUGUUGCAUCUCAAUGCAAUGUGCUCAUCUUGAUUAAACUAUAAUGUUAUUUUAGUAUUGAGAUUUUAAUUUGAUAGAUUUAGUCAUUUAGUUGCUGUCAAAUUGAUUAAUCACAUCUAACAUAUAAGUUUGUAAUAUAUAACAAAACAUAU